GUCAUCCCUAAUCUCGCUUCUGUUUCCCUACUCAGUUGCGAAAUCAGAGCCCAAGAUCACCGACACAGAGAAACGUAGUGAGAGCAUAGAAAUUGAAAUCGGAAGAGAUGAAACAGCCCAGAAACGUGAGAAGCAUCGGAGAGAGGUAGAGGGUUUUUAGAACUGGAGCCAAGGGGAAGAGAAGCAUUUGGGUUUAGGUUUUGAUCAGGUGCAACGAUAUUGAUCCAAUUGGAGGCAUCCUGAAAAUAAUAUGGUAAUUGGAACCCCUCCUAUAUUUGAUUCGAUUUCAGAGGCAUCCUGAAAAUAAUAUGAUAAAUUAAGAAAUGAAAGUGGCUGAAUUGGAAGCUAAACUUGGUAGUGAGAUGAGCAAAAGAAGGCCUUACUUACUGAAAAGGAAAAAGGAUUAUGUUUUAAAUCUUUUUGAGUAUGGCACUGGCACCCAUGGCU